AGGCUGGAUAGAGAGACGCACAGGAAGUAGAGUGGAGGGACACUCAGUGAUGCACAGGAAGUAGAGUGGAGGGACACUCAGUCUGAGGGUUUUGGAGAUGGCAUGGAGAAGAAGAGCUUUCCUUUUGGAAUGUCGGCUGUGGAGGAAGAUGGGUGGACCAGAAGGGAAGAUGAUGUCCUAGCUCUCUGGUCCUCAGAAGGAGAGGGGACACUGAGCCCCACAGCUGCUGAUGGGUGUCUCCUUGAUUUCAGCAAGAUGACAUCUUCGGUCCUACUGCCAGAGUCUCAGUGACCAUGACAGGCUUGCGGCCCUGUCAAGCUGGUGGAAACUUGGGGUCUUUGUGCUCAUUUUCUCUUCCCUGUGAAUGGAGGUUGGAACCCGAGGCCCUCAGCUCCAGGAAGCAUCUACGGUGGCCUCUGUGGAGUCUCCCGGGAGCUGCGCUGUGGAAACCCCGUGUUUCCUUUAAGGGGGGACUGCUCUGUGCUGAUGCUUUCACACACCCAGGCUCUUAUUUUGCUUUCAUUCUUUAAAUUUUAGAGUGAAAUAACCACAGUACAAAUGCUACCAUGUUAACUUUUUAAAAUUCAGUUAUUCAUUAGGUGUUUGGUGGUUUGGGGCUUUGUUUUAUUUUGAGACAAGAGCUCACAUUACUCAGGCUUUGAACUCCAAAUUGUCUUAACCCCCCAGUGUUGUACACACCAUGCCUGGCGUAACCACUUUUGAGUGCGCAGUCUCUGCAGCCUCAUGUUCAUCCAUUGGGAACUGAGACUACCCACUAUCCAUUUCCACUUUUAAAAAAUAUAUCUCAUUUCCACCUCUCAA